UACCAGCACCCCGAGUGGUCGGGACGAUUAUUGGGCCUAAAGCAUCCGUAGCCGGUUCUGCAAGUCUUCCGUUAAAUCCAGCCGCUCAACGGCUGGGCUGCGGAGGAUACUACAGGACUAGGAGGCGGGAGAGGCAAGCGGUACUCAGUGGGUAGGGGUAAAAUCCUUUGAUCCAUUGAAGACCACCAGUGGCGAAGGCGGCUUGCCAGAACGCGCUCGACGGUGAGGGAUGAAAGCUGGGGGAGCAAACCGG
rnacentral:rRNA from 2 species